UUUCCUCUUCAUCUUUGAAAUGAUGAAGAAAACUGUUUGCUGUGCAUGCCAGUUAGUAGGGUGGUGAGUGCUGCAUUGAGGAGGCCUUACUGCCAGGUGCAAAUAGAGCUUGAAAUUUCCUGCCACCUCUGUGCUCAAGGUGCCAGUACCAUCAGGGCAACAGGGAGCCCGUUGGAAAUGCAGAACCUCUGGCCCCAAGCAGACCAAUUCAAUCUCUGUCUGCAUUUUAAUGAAUCUUGGGAGAAAUGCAUGCACAUUAGAGAUUGAGAAGCAGUGACUGAGCCCAGCCUUGGCAAUUAGAAUCACCUGCAAGUCUCUCUGGGUAAAGGAAGUGGAGAUUUGAUUUAUACUCUGCAUACUUCUUAAUCAGAUCAACUGUUCCAGAAAGUUGUCCUGGCUUUGCAGCUGCACCAUGACAGCCUUUUGCUAGACAAAGCAUCAACGCUACAUGCCAUUGGGAGAACUAAACUGAUCUGAUGUGAGUUGUGGAGACUCCAGGAUUUCCACCUGAAGGAGUUUAGAAGCAUCAACCUGAUAGAAGUAAAGCCCAGCUUUCUUCUCUUCAGAUACAGCACUCGAAGAGUCCAACAGUCAGCCAAGAGAUGGGACCCCAGAGA